GGAUCCAGACUUUGAUCCUGGCUCAGGAUGAACGCUAGCUACAGGCUUAACACAUGCAAGUCGAGGGGAAACGAUAUUGGAAGCUUGCUUCCGAUAGGCGUCGACCGGCGCACGGGUGAGUAACGCGUAUCCAACCUGCCCACCACUUGGGGAUAACCUUGCGAAAGUAAGACUAAUACCCAAUGAUAUCUCUAGAAGACAUCUGAAAGGGAUUAAAGAUUUAUCGGUGAUGGAUGGGGAUGCGUCUGAUUAGCUUGUUGGCGGGGUAACGGCCCACCAAGGCGACGAUCAGUAGGGGUUCUGAGAGGAAGGUCCCCCACAUUGGAACUGAGACACGGUCCAAACUCCUACGGGAGGCAGCAGUGAGGAAUAUUGGUCAAUGGGCGAGAGCCUGAACCAGCCAAGUAGCGUGCAGGAUGACGGCCCUAUGGGUUGUAAACUGCUUUUAUAAGGGGAUAAAGUGAGCCUCGUGAGGCUUUUUGCAUGUACCUUAUGAAUAAGGACCGGCUAAUUCCGUGCCAGCAGCCGCGGUAAUACGGAAGGUCCGGGCGUUAUCCGGAUUUAUUGGGUUUAAAGGGAGCGUAGGCCGGAGAUUAAGCGUGUUGUGAAAUGUAGAUGCUCAACGUCUGCACUGCAGCGCGAACUGGUUUCCUUGAGUACGCACAAAGUGGGCGGAAUUCGUGGUGUAGCGGUGAAAUGCUUAGAUAUCACGAAGAACUCCGAUUGCGAAGGCAGCUCACUGGAGCGCAACUGACGCUGAAGCUCGAAAGUGCGGGUAUCGAACAGGAUUAGAUACCCUGGUAGUCCGCACGGUAAACGAUGGAUGCCCGCUGUUGGUCUGAAUAGGUCAGCGGCCAAGCGAAGGCAUUAAGCAUCCCACCUGGGGAGUACGCCGGCAACGGUGCAACUCAAAGGAAUUGACGG
rnacentral:rRNA from 1 species